rnacentral:ncRNA from 2 species
UACAGUUCGUCCCGCCGUGGUGUUCGGGAAGCCGGUGUGGAACCGGUGCGGCCCUCGCCACUGUGAUCGGGAUGUCACCGGCCAGUCCCCGCCCGUCGGGGAGUCACUGGGCACCGGAAAACGUCGCCUGGGAAGGCGGCCGGUGACGCACCACCCGUCAGCCAGGAGACCGGCCACGGCACCCGCGAUCCG